rnacentral:rRNA from 1 species
GAUGAACGCUAGCGGGAGGCCUAACACAUGCAAGCCGAGCGGUAUUGUUUCUUCGGAAAUGAGAGAGCGGCGUACGGGUGCGGAACACGUGUGCAACCUGCCUUUAUCUGGGGGAUAGCCUUUCGAAAGGAAGAUUAAUACUCCAUAAUAUAUUGAACGGCAUCGUUUAAUAUUGAAAGCUCCGGCGGAUAGAGAUGGGCACGCGCAAGAUUAGCUAGUUGGUGAGGAACGGCUCACCAAGGCGAUGAUCUUUAGGGGGCCUGAGAGGGGUGA